AAAGGGGUCGGCGUGAGGCGAAAACGCCAGACGCGCCGAUAACGUUUCGCCGUAAGCACGGGCCGUGGAACCGCGAGCGUUCCGAGUUACGUAAAGCCGUCGCGGUUUUUUGUGAGCGGUGUUUUUAAAUGCAACCAAGUGUAUUAGUGAACUAGUUAAAGAUUAUUUUGUGUGCGCUUUAACGGAAUAUGUGAAGUGACAGUGACUGUGUCGAGUGAUGAAUAGUGAACAGUGAACAAAAUGGACAGAAACACGGCCGAAUCUAGCAAGGGCCAGUUGUGCGGGCAAGUGCGUCGGUUCCAAGACAAAUCGCCCGAUAUAUCGUCCGAUUUGUCGUUCGAGGAGUUGAGGAAUAAGUUCGAUACGAGAGCGCCACGCGCGGCGAGGAACGAAAUCGCUUCGAACCCCGCUACGCAUGGCAGCGCGACUAGGCAAGUCGUCAGUGGGAAAGUGUUCAAGAAGUGCAAGAGCGCUACGUUUCAGAUAGAUGGCGCCACUUAUACUAUUUAGAUUAGAUUAGAUUACUCGGGCUGGUUUCCGCAACUCCACGACAAAGCGCGUAUUUUGCGUGUGAGGGUGAUAAUGGGUGUUUAUUCACUCGAUCCACCCCAACUCCUCGAGAAAAGCCAGCAGAGGUUUAAUUUUGCUGACUAUCUCUUGGAUAGUACCUGGGUUACCGAAGUACUUAGCCCUGUAUAUGGCGGUUUCAGGGCAGUCUAGUAGCACGUGUGCCGCUGUUUCUUCUUCCCCCAUGCAGGCUCUGCAUAAGGGACUGUCUGUAACUCCUAUAACAUAGAGGUGUUUAUUGAAGGAGCCGUGUCCAGUUAGAACUGCCGUAAACUUACGUAAAUUCUGCUUUGAUAGGCCCAUCAGCUGUUUAGUGAGGCGAUCGUUGAUGGUCGGGAGGGCCAUCUUCGCCUGCCUGCACGCGCUGUGGUUAGUCCAGAGGUGGUUGUGUUUGUGCCUAGUACGCUGUCUUACCAGUGUUCGUAGGUGGCCGAAGGGAGUGGCAGUAUGGGUUCUGGUCCUACUGCUGUUUGGUCUGAUCCCCUUCUCGCCAGCUCAUCCGCUGCAUCGUUGCCUCGGGAGCCACUGUGUCCUUUUAUCCAUUGAAUGGUUAUGUUAUUUAAACUGCCUACCUUGUUUAACCGUUGGUGGCACUCGUGUAUAAGGCCGGAGUUUGCGCAGUGUUUGCUUAGGGCCUGUAUUACUGCCAUGCUAUCUGAGAGUAUUCGGAUAGAGUGACCGGUUACUUCCCGCUUUAUGACUGCUUCGGCCGCUAGGGAGAUGCCUAUACAUUCAGCUUGGAAUACUGUAUUAUGUACUCCUAGGGGUGUGAAUAUGUGUAUGUUUAGGUCUUCUGAGAAGAGGCCUGAACCUGUGCCGGUGCUUGUUUUGGAU